rnacentral:tRNA from 1 species
AAAAAUUUAGUUAAAAAAUAACGUUAGUUUGUCAAGCUAAAAUUAUUUAAAAUUAAAUAAUUUUUA